ACAUCGCCUGAGACGCGUGGAGCAAGGACACACACAGCAGCGGCCCUUGGGGACACAGGUGCCCGUUCCGGCUCCGCGGCGCGUGGCCAACACGGCACGGCCUCCCAAGCCUUGGUUUCCGUAUCUGGGAAACGAGAACCUGCCGCCGCCUUCGCAGGGUCCCGGGGGCAGGAGGGGGCGGCCCACUUCCCGCCUCUUUCCCUCGUGGAUCCCAGCGUCACCAGGGCUGGGCCUUCUGUGCCGGGGGCUUCCCGUCGGCGUAAUGUAGCUUCACAGAGCUGCUGACGGGGCUGCUUUCUCGAGUUAACACCACCCCCCGCCCCCCCCGCCCCCCGGGAGCCAGGGCCUGGCCGAGGAGCGGCUUCCCGGGCAGCGCCCCAUUCAGGAGGAGGCACAGGCGGGCGGUGCCUCCGAUCUCUUCCAGCUUCCUCCACGCUCAGGAAGCGGCCACCUGCUCUCUCGGGCCAGAUCUGCCACCUGUCCAGGGCCUGGACCCCCCGCCCCAGACCCUCUGGGGUGCGUGCCACGGAGUGGGGUGCGUGCCGCAGAGCCCCAGGUGCAGAUGCUGCCCGUGGAAGUUCUGGCCUCUCGGUCGAGGGGUCACGUGGCAGCGACGGCUCGCGGCGCAGAAUCUGCUUGGGUCCCUAACCCUCCCCCCACCAGUACUGAGAACCCCGAGCGCAGAAGGCGGACGCCUUAAGCCCCAAGUGGAAAUUUUGGGGGGUGAUGUGCAGCUUCGAAAUGGCUCUGAGGGAUGCGGUUUCAGGAAACUCUUUGACAGAGUGACAGUGGUGAUUCAAGCACAGGGGUCCUGCCACUGAAAUCGCCAAGCCUCUAUGUCCACGGGCACCAAGUGGGAAGAUUCCACCUUCGUACACAACACUGCAAAGUGGUCGCUAGAAUUAUGAUGAUCCUGAACGUAAGGCGCCGAGCUCACAAGAAGUGCUGCCCAAAGAUUUCGACGGCCGUGGAGCUGCUUCCCGGAGAAAUCACAGCGUAGGGUCAUCGUCUGAGAGGCGGAACAGACCUCGAAGUCCUAGUCUCUCCAGAAGUUCUAGUUCCUUCUACUGUGUCCCGCCCCACCCUGGAAAUGCAGGAGCCAGUACCUUGAGCGUUGUCCUACAGAACAGAGCGGAUCUGAAGUUCCUUCCCGGCGCCUGCCUACAACACAGUGGCUAACAUGCCAUUGGCCAGAGCAGGUGACGCGGUCGGGUCUAAAGUCAAGGUGGCCAUGGUGACAAGGAGGGGAGACGUGGGACAGCAAUUCAGCCUACCGCACGUUCCAGUCAACGCAAUGGGGUCACUGUUGUCCAACCUCCCUUCUUCCCCUGCUCCUUAAACAGAAGGUCAACCGUGCUGAUGAGACAUGACAUGAACAGUUAGACUGGCCAAGGCUGCAGUGUGAAUUCUUCAUCCAUACGUAAGAUGUCCAGGGCGCUCCCAAGAGAUGACAUCAGACGGGCCCCCUGAGCCCAAGGGAGAAAUUUUGAUCCCUUCAUACAACAUCCGGGUGAUAUGGGACUGUAACAGCAUGUCAUCCGAGGGGCGCCCGGGGGGCUCUGUCUUGUUAAGCAGCGGGUUCUUGGUGUCGGCUCAGGCCAUGAUCUCAGGGUUGCACUGAGUGGUGGAGCCUGCUUGAGAUUCUCUCCCUCUCCCUCUCUCUUUCUCUCUCUCCAAAAGCGAAACUAAAAAUGGG